rnacentral:lncRNA from 1 species
AUGUUUUCUUGUUGUUUAUCUCAACAGCAGGUGGUGGUGAGGAUGCACCACGUGAGUAGGGUGAGAGGCCUGGAGACUCAACUGGUGUGGGCCAUCUCCAAGGAGACAGCCAGGCUUAGUCCAGAGGGCAUCCCCUACUGUGCCACCAAAGUGCAGUCCAUCACUUGGAUCCAGCGUGUGGCUGGCAGGGUGACCCACUAUGCGUCUCACCUUCGCCACGAGACGUCUGUGUACGUGAAGCUUGGCUGCAACCAGCAGACUGAUGUCUCAGUGGUGUACGCCACUCUCCACAUGGGGCUGGACGGGCUUCUCUCCUCUUCAGCGUAG